CUGUGCAAAGGUAGCAUAAUCAUUAGCUUUUUAAUUGAAGGCUUGUAUGAAGGGUCUGACAAAGGAAAAGCUGUCUUUAGUUUUAAUUUUGAAUUUGACUUUUAAGUGAAAAGGCUUAGUUGAAUUUAAGGGACGAUAAGACCCUAUAAAUCUUUAUAUUAUAUUAUUGUAUUAAAAUAUUAAUUGAUUGUCUAGAUUAAUAAAUAAAAUGAUAAAUAUUUUGUUGGGGUGAUGAGAAUAUAAAAUUAACUGUUCUAAAAAAAAACAAAGUUGUUUGUUUAAAUAUUAAUAGAUCCUUUAUAGAGAUUUAAAGUUAAAGUUACUUUAGGGAUAACAGCGUUAUUUUUUUUGAGAGUUCUUAUCGAAAAAAAAGUUUGCGACCUCGAUGUUGAAUUAAAAUUUCCCUAUGGUGUAGAAGUCAUAGGAGAAAGUCUGUUCGACUUUUGAAAUUUU
rnacentral:rRNA from 1 species